rnacentral:misc_RNA from 1 species
CAAUUCAAUAAUAUGAUAACACGAGAUGCAGUAACUUGGAGCACCAUGAUUGCUGGCUUCACCCACUGUGGCAUGCCUGACGAAGCAAUUGCUGUUUUCCGAGAGAUGAGCCACACUUCUGAACGGCCCAAUGCUGUUACCAUGUUAAAUCUUCUUGAAGCUUGCUCUCUUUCUGCAGAUGUGAAAAGAUCAAGAUGGGCUCAUGGCAUUGCUAUUCGAGGAGGGUUGGAAUCUAAUGUAGUAGUGGGAACUGCCAUCUUAGAUAUGUACUCAAAAUGUGGUUCCAUUGGAUCUUCAAGGAAAGUGUUUGACCGCAUUCCAUACAAGAAUGUUGUGACCUGGAGUG